rnacentral:rRNA from 1 species
AGAGUUUGAUCAUGGCUCAGGACGAACGCUAGCGGCAGGCCUAAUACAUGCAAGUCGAACGAGAAUCCCUUCGGGGAGGAAAGUGGCGCACGGGUGCGUAACACGUAUGCAACUUACCCUUUAGAGGGGGAUAGCCUAGAGAAAUUUAGAUUAAUACCCCAUAUUAUCAUUGAUUCGCAUGUUUCGAUGAUGAAAGUUUUUCGCUAAAGGAUGGGCAUGCGUCCCAUUAGUUAGUUGGUGAGGUAACGGCUCACCAAGGCGACGAUGGGUAGCUGGUCUGAGAGGAUGAUCAGCCACACGGGCACUGAGACACGGGCCCGACUCCUACGGGAGGCAGCAGUAAGGAAUAUUGGGCAAUGGGGGCAACCCUGACCCAGCCAUGCCGCGUGCAGGAUGAAGGUCCUCUGGAUCGUAAACUGCUUUUAUCAGGGGCUAAAGUGGGACUAUACGUCCUUUUGCAGGUACCUGAAGAAUAAGCACCGGCUAACUACGUGCCAGCAGCCGCGGUAAUACGUAGGGUGCAAGCGUUGUCCGGAUUUAUUGGGUUUAAAGGGUGCGUAGGCGGUCUGUUAAGUUAGUAGUGAAAGCGUCCAGCUCAACUGGAUACCCG